GGGCCCAUGGUCUAGACGGUCAUGACACCUGUCUCACACACAGGAGAUCGCCGGUUCGAAUCCGGCUGGGCCCACCA
rnacentral:tRNA from 1 species